rnacentral:rRNA from 1 species
CUUCGGUAACUGACCUAGCGGCGGACGGGUGAGUAAUACUUAGGAAUCUGCCUAUUAAUGGGGGACAACAUCUCGAAAGGGAUGCUAAUACCGCAUACGCCCUACGGGGGAAAGCAGGGGAUCACUUGUGACCUUGCGUUAAUAGAUGAGCCUAAGUCGGAUUAGCUAGUUGGUGGGGUAAAGGCCUACCAAGGCGACGAUCUGUAGCGGGUCUGAGAGGAUGAUCCGCCACACUGGGACUGAGACACGGCCCAGACUCCUACGGGAGGCAGCAGUGGGGAAUAUUGGACAAUGGGGGGAACCCUGAUCCAGCCAUGCCGCGUGUGUGAAGAAGGCCUUAUGGUUGUAAAGCACUUUAAGCGAGGAGGAGGCUCUCUUGGUUAAUACCCAAGAUGAGUGGACGUUACUCGCAGAAUAAGCACCGGCUAACUCUGUGCCAGCAGCCGCGGUAAUACAGAGGGUGCGAGCGUUAAUCGGAUUUACUGGGCGUAAAGCGUGCGUAGGCGGCUUUUUAAGUCGGAUGUGAAAUCCCCGAGCUUAACUUGGGAAUUGCAUUCGAUACUGGGAAGCUAGAGUAUGGGAGAGGAUGGUAGAAUUCCAGGUGUAGCGGUGAAAUGCGUAGAGAUCUGGAGGAAUACCGAUGGCGAAGGCAGCCAUCUGGCCUAAUACUGACGCUGAGGUACGAAAGCAUGGGGAGCAAACAGGAUUAGAUACCCUGGUAGUCCAUGCCGUAAACGAUGUCUACUAGCCGUUGGGGCCUUUGAGGCUUUAGUGGCGCAGCUAACGCGAUAAGUAGACCGCCUGGGGAGUACGGUCGCAAGACUAAAACUCAAAUGAAUUGACGGGGGCCCGCACAAGCGGUGGAGCAUGUGGUUUAAUUCGAUGCAACGCGAAGAACCUUACCUGGUCUUGACAUAGUAAGAACUUUCCAGAGAUGGAUUGGUGCCUUCGGGAACUUACAUACAGGUGCUGCAUGGCUGUCGUCAGCUCGUGUCGUGAGAUGUUGGGUUAAGUCCCGCAACGAGCGCAACCCUUUUCCUUAUUUGCCAGCACUUCGGGUGGGAACUUUAAGGAUACUGCCAGUGACAAACUGGAGGAAGGCGGGGACGACGUCAAGUCAUCAUGGCCCUUACGACCAGGGCUACACACGUGCUACAAUGGUCGGUACAAAGGGUUGCUACCUAGCGAUAGGAUGCUAAUCUCAAAAAGCCGAUCGUAGUCCGGAUUGGAGUCUGCAACUCGACUCCAUGAAGUCG